rnacentral:rRNA from 1 species
CUUAACACAUGCAAGUCGAGGGGCAGCACAGGUAGCAAUACCGGGUGGCGACCGGCGCACGGGUGAGUAACGCGUAUGCAACUUGCCUAUCAGAGGGGGAUAACCCGGCGAAAGUCGGACUAAUACCGCAUGAAGCAGGGAUCCCGCAUGGGAAUAUUUGCUAAAGAUUCAUCGCUGAUAGAUAGGCAUGCGUUCCAUUAGGCAGUUGGCGGGGUAACGGCCCACCAAACCGACGAUGGAUAGGGGUUCUGAGAGGAAGGUCCCCCACAUUGGUACUGAGACACGGACCAAACUCCUACGGGAGGCAGCAGUGAGGAAUAUUGGUCAAUGGCCGAGAGGCUGAACCAGCCAAGUCGCGUGAGGGAUGAAGGUUCUAUGGAUCGUAAACCUCUUUUAUAAGGGAAUAAAGUGCGGGACGUGUCCCGUUUUGUAUGUACCUUAUGAAUAAGGAUCGGCUAACUCCGUGCCAGCAGUCGCGGUAAUACGGAGGAUCCGAGCGUUAUCCGGAUUUAUUGGGUUUAAAGGGUGCGUAGGCGGCCUUUUAAGUCAGCGGUGAAAGUCUGUGGCUCAACCAUAGAAUUGCCGUUGAAACUGGGGGGCUUGAGUAUGUUUGAGGCAGGCGGAAUGCGUGGUGUAGCGGUGAAAUGCAUAGAUAUCACGCAGAACCCCGAUUGCGAAGGCAGCCUGCCAAGCCAUGACUGACGCUGAUGCACGAAAGCGUGGGGAUCAAACAGGAUUAGAUACCCUGGUAGUCCACGCAGUAAACGAUGAUCACUAGCUGUUUGCGAUACACUGUAAGCGGCACAGCGAAAGCGUUAAGUGAUCCACCUGGGGAGUACGCCGGCAACGGUGAAACUCAAAGGAAUUGACGGGGGCCCGCACAAGCGGAGGAACAUGUGGUUUAAUUCGAUGAUACGCGAGGAACCUUACCCGGGUUUGAACGCAUUCGGACCGAGGUGGAAACACCUUUUCUAGCAAUAGCCGUUUGCGAGGUGCUGCAUGGUUGUCGUCAGCUCGUGCCGUGAGGUGUCGGCUUAAGUGCCAUAACGAGCGCAACCCUUGCCACUAGUUACUAACAGGUAAAGCUGAGGACUCUGGUGGGACUGCCAGCGUAAGCUGCGAGGAAGGCGGGGAUGACGUCAAAUCAGCACGGCCCUUACAUCCGGGGCGACACACGUGUUACAAUGGCGUGGACAAAGGGAAGCCACCUGGCGACAGGGAGCGAAUCCCCAAACCACGUCUCAGUUCGGAUCGGAGUCUGCAACCCGACUCCGUGAAGCUGGAUUCGCUAGUAAUCGCGCAUCAGCCAUGGCGCGGUGAAUACGUUCCCGGGCCUUGUACACACCGCCCGUCAAGCCAUGGGAGCCGGGGGUACCUGAAGUCCGUAACCGCGAGGAUCGGCCUAGGGUAAAACUGGUGACUGGGGCUAA